ensembl:lncRNA LINC02326 long intergenic non-protein coding RNA 2326
GGUAUACUCACACAAUUGACCCAAAGCAGAAGUCAGCAGGAAUGGGAGCUGCAACAAAGCACGAAGAAGAGAAAACAGAAAACAUCCAUUGAAUCCUCUGCCUCUGGUAAUGUAUGGCUCCCAGUAUGCCUCCUUCAAGAGCAUGACUGACCCAAUUACUAGUAUGAGCAAAAGUGACAUCAUUUGCUGAGGUGAGGAAAACCAGAAAGGAACAGGCAGAAAGGAGAAAGAAGGUAUCUAAAGUAAAUGGCCUUAUGUAUAAUCCUGAAUUAUAAGUCAUUGCAAAAGAAUCAGGCUUGUGGCUACUUCUCUGACAGAGCCAAACUCUCCAAUUCAAUUAUUCUGAGCAAAACAAACAAGGAGGGGGACCCUCUUACGGAUUAAAGACCUCUUUGUGAUAUGACUGGCCCAAUUCAAUUGCCUAAGCAUCACGUAGAAACAAUAGUUCAAUACUUCAAAGGAAAGUUUCAGAAAGGUGAUGAAAUUUAAGCUGGGCUUUAAAGGCUACAUCAAAUUUGACAAAUGGAAUUGUGAGGAAAGCACAUUAGAAGUAAAGAGUGAACCCACAAAAACAAGAGAACAUCAUGUUUCUAGAGGCUGCCUGCAUUCCUUGGCUAAUGACUUUGCAUCACUCUGACGUCUUGCUCCCAUGGUCGUAUCACCUACUACUGGCCCUGAUCUCACUACUUGUUAUAUGGAACAAAGGGAUAAGGAAGUGACUUGCCUAAGUCACUGAGGAACCUAAUAUUGAGAUUAGCACUCAAUGAUUCCUGGCUCUCAGAAUGUGUGCUGCUACCACCAGGCCACACUCUUCCCUCCAGAGAGAAGAUGUGUCAGCACGGAAUUGUGCUGAAGCAAAGAUGUGAAAUAGAAUGAUUACAUAUCUACCUAGUGGGAAGAUCUGGGGAAGAAUCUAUCAGUGCUGGCAGAGAAGCAAACCAUACGACAUCACUCAUCCCCAGAAAGUGAAGUUAAGGGAAAUAAAAAACAAUCUACACCAUUUAGAAAACACAGCCACCCCAUACCCUUGGAAAAAAUACACUAAAAUAUCUUCAUCUGAUUUGACCUCUAAUAACAUGAAUAAUUGUCUUAUAA